rnacentral:rRNA from 1 species
AUACACGAAAGUGUGACGGGGUUACCCAAAGUGUUCUUAUUGAACUGUGGUAGGUGAGUAAUGUCCCCUACUAGAAAGGAGAGGGCAAGGCUGGUGCCAGCCGCCGCGGUAAAACCAGCUCUUCAAGUGGUCGGGAUAAUUAUUGGGCUUAAAGUGUCCGUAGCCGGUUUAGUUAGUUCCUGGUAAAAUCGGGUAGCUUAACUAUCUGUAUGCUAGGAAUACUGCUAUACUAGAGGGCGGGAGAGGUCUGAGGUACUACAGGGGUAGGGGUGAAAUCUUAUAAUCCUUGUAGGACCACCAGUGGCGAAGGCGUCAGACUGGAACGCGCCUGACGGUGAGGGACGAAAGCCAGGGGAGCGAACCGGAUUAGAUACCCGGGUAGUCCUGGCCGUAAACGAUGCAUACUAGGUGAUGGCACGGCUAUGAGCCGUGUCAGUGCCGUAGGGAAACCGUUAAGUGUGCCGCCUGGGAAGUACGGUCGCGAGG